rnacentral:rRNA from 1 species
AUUGAACGCUGGCGGCAGGCCUAACACAUGCAAGUCGAACGAGUGGCGGACGGGUGCGUAAUGUCUGGGAAACUGCCCGAUGGCGGGGGAUAACUACUGGAAACGGUAGCUAAUACCGCAUACCAUCGGAUGUGCCCAGAUGGGAUUAGCUAGUAGGUGGGGUAACGGCUCACCUAGGCGACGAGCCCUAGCUGGUCUGCGAGGAUGACCAUCCAACUUGGAACGGAGACACGGUCCAUGCGCCGACGGGAGGCAGAAGUGGGGAAUAUUGCACAAUGGGCGCAAGCCUGAUGCCGCCAUGCCGCGUGUAUGAAGAAGGCUUUCGGGUUGUAAAGUACUUUCAUCGAGGAGGCGUUACUCGCAGAAGAAGCACCGGCUAACUCCGUGCCAGCAGCCGCGGUAAUUC